rnacentral:tRNA from 1 species
GGAGAGAUGGCUGAGCGGUCUAAAGCGACGGUCUUGAAAACCGUUAUCUCGAGUGAUCGGGAUCGAGGGUUCGAAUCCCUCUCUCUCCUCCA